CGGACGGGUGAGUAAUGUCUGGGAAACUGCCUGAUGGAGGGGAAUAACUACUGGAAACGGUAGCUAAUACCGCAUAACGUCGCAAGACCAAAGAGGGGGACCUUCGGGCCUCUUGCCAUCGGAUGUGCCCAGAUGGGAUUAGCUAGUAGGUGGGGUAACGGCUCACCUAGGCGACGAUCCCUAGCUGGUCUGAGAGGAUGACCAGCCACACUGGAACUGAGACACGGUCCAG
rnacentral:rRNA from 1 species